AGGAGAGAGGAAACUGUAGGGGG
rnacentral:piRNA from 1 species